CAGCAGCCGCGGUAAUACAGAGGGUGCAAGCGUUAAUCGGAAUUACUGGGCGUAAAGCGCGCGUAGGUGGUUCGCCAAGUUGGAUGUGAAAUCCCCGGGCUCAACCUGGGAACUGCAUCCAAAACUGGCGAGCUAGAGUAUGGUAGAGGGUGGUGGAAUUUCCUGUGUAGCGGUGAAAUGCGUAGAUAUAGGAAGGAACAUCAGUGGCGAAGGCGACCACCUGGACUGAUACUGACACUGAGGUGCGAAAGCGUGGGGAGCAAACAGGAUUAGAUACCCCUGUAGUCCCUGUCUCUUAUAA
rnacentral:rRNA from 1 species